rnacentral:rRNA from 1 species
CCUACGGGAGGCAGCAGUGGGGAAUAUUGGGCAAUGGGCGCAAGCCUGACCCAGCAAAGCCGCGUGAAGGAAGAAGGCUUUCGGGUUGUAAACUUCUUUUGUCCGGGACGAAGCAAGUGACGGUACCUGACGAAUAAGCCACGGCUAACUACGUGCCAGCAGCCGCGGUAAUACGUGGGUGGCAAGCGUUAUCCGGAUUUACUGGGUGUAAAGGGCGUGUAGGCGGGACUGCAAGUCAGAUGGGAAAACCACGGGCUCAACCUGUGGCCUGCAUUUGAAACUGUGGUUCUUGAGUACUGGAGAGGCAGGCGGAAUGCCUAGUGUAGCGGUGAAAUGCGUAGAUAUUAGGAGGAACACCAGUGGCGAAGGCGGUCUGCUGGACAGCAACUGACGCUGAGGCGCGAAAGCGUGGGGAGCAAACAGGAUUAGAUACCCUAGUAGUC